rnacentral:rRNA from 1 species
UAAAAUAAUUAAGGGCACACAAAGGAUGCCUAGGUAGUAAGAGCCGAUGAAGGACGUGGUAAGCUGCGAUAAGCCUAGAUAAGUUGCAAUCGAACGUAAGAGUCUAGGAUUUCCGAAUGGAGCAAUCUAUUAAGAUGGAGUCUUAAUACGAAAGAGGGAACCGCGUGAACUGAAACAUCUAAGUAACGCGAGGAAAAGAAAGUAAAAACGAUACCCAAAGUAGCGGCGAGCGAAAUGGGUCAAGCCUAAACCUUAAAUAUGUCAAGGAUACAGCCGUUGUAUUUAGGGGGUUGAGGGACAGAGUAGUGAAGAACUGUAAGAUAUUCAAUAUAGUGUAUUGAUGAAUUGGAAUUGUCUGGAAAGGCGAACCGUAGAAGGUGAAAGUCCUGUACAAGUAAAUCCUUACACAUAUAACUCUGCUCCCAAGUAACAUGGAACACGAGGAAUUCUGUGUGAAUCUGUGAGGACCAUAUCUCAUAAGGCUAAAUACUCUUACUAACCGAUAGCGCAUAGUACCGUGAGGGAAAGGUGAAAAGAACCCCUGGAGGGGAGUGAAAUAGAACCUGAAAUUGUGUGCUUACAAGCGGUCAGAGCCAGUGAUGGUGAUGGCGUGCCUUUUGGAGAAUGAUCCUGCGAGUUACGUUAAACGGCGAGGUUAAGUAUAACGGAGCCGAAGGGAAACCAAGUCUUAAUAGGGCGAUUUAGUCGUUUGGCGUAGACGCGAAACCUGGUGAUCUAAACCUGUCCAGGAUGAAGCUGUGGUAAGACACAGUGGAGGUCCUAACCCACCGCCGUUGAAAAGUUGGGGGAUGAGGUAGGUUUAGGGGUGAAAAGCCAAUCGAACCAGGAGAUAGCUCGUUCUCUCCGAAAUGCAUCUAGGUGCAGCCUUGAGUGUUCAAUUAUGGGGGUAGAGCACUGAAUGAUCUAGGGGGCGUAUUGCUUACUGAAAUCAAUCAAACUCCGAAUACCAUAAUUUAGAGCUCAGGAGUGAGACUAUGGGAGUUAACUUCCAUUGUCGAAAGGGAAACAACCCAGACCACCAGCUAAGGUCCCUAAUUAUAACUAAGUGGGAAAGGAGGUGGAGAUUCACAAACAACUAGGAGGUUGGCUUAGAAGCAGCCAUACCUUUAAAGAGUGCGUAAUAGCUCACUAGUCGAGAGUCUCUGCGCCGACAAUGUAACGGGGCUAAGUUAUAAACCGAAGCUGUGGAAUCCGUAAGGAUUGGUAGGAGAGCGUUCUGUAGGCCGUUGAAGGAGAAGGGUAACCGACUCUGGAGGUAUCAGAAGUGAGAAUGCAGGAAUAAGUAGCGAGAAAGGGGGCGAGAAUCCCCCUCGCCGGAAGACCAAGGUUUUCAGGGUAAAGCUUGUCUUCCCUGAGUAAGCCGGGACCUAAGCCCAGGCUAUAAUGCGUAGGCGAAUGGAAAACAGAUUAAUAUUUCUGUGCCAGUCAUAUAUUGUGAUGGAGGGACGCAGAAGGGUAUGCACGCGGACGAACGGAAGUGUCCGUAGAAGUAUGUAGGAUGACUUGAUAGGAAAAUCCAUUGAGUUAUAUCUGAGGUAUGAUAUACAGUCGUAAGAUGAAUGCGCAAAUCCCACGCUGCCAAGAAAAGCUUCUAACGUUAAUAUUUGACUGCCCGUACUGCAAACCGACACAGGUGGUCAGGAUGAGAAAUCUAAGGCGGACAGGCUAACUCUCGUUAAGGAACUCUGCAAAAUAACCUCGUAACUUCGGGAGAAGAGGAGCCCUUGAGGGUCAGUAUCCACGCGAUACAAAGCACUCGAGGGUCGCAGUGAAGAGGCUCAAGCAACUGUUUAACAAAAACACAGGUCUAUGCUAAGCUGGAAGGCGAUGUAUAUGGGCUGACACCUGCCCAGUGCUGGAAGGUUAAGAGGAGGAGUGAGAGCUCCGAAUUGAAGCCCCAGUGAACGGCGGCCGUAACUAUAACGGUCCUAAGGUAGCGAAAUUCCUUGUC